UCUAUGCAACUUUUAUUAGUUCCAAUAGAUUCCAGCAGGAAUAGAAUGGAGUACUUUUUAUCAAUAAGCGGCUCAGGCAUUAUGUCUGGAAAAUCGGGCUUUCCAGACACAAUAAUGUAUUGUUAAUGGCUAUAUUCCAAAGUAGAGGAAACAGUACACCUCCUUAAGGUGUUCCUGACCCAUGUUUAUAGAUCCACAGAUCCCAAGCCUACCGUAAUGCAUCUUUUAGUAAGGUGUACUUUUUGGCAUCGAAGGAUUCUUCUAUUUUAUCCACCGACCUUCCCUUGACAUAGGCAUGCAGUUUGUAUUUGAGCAGUUCGCUGGAUGUCCUACUCUUUAUCAUGGUGUCCACAAUGCGUUCCAUGGUUUUGAGUAGAAAGGACGUAAGCCUUAUAGGCCUUUGGUGUCGCAUAGCUUGCCUUGCAGGGCUUGGGUAUAAAUACCAUCCUUGCCUCCUGCCAAGAUUUCGGAGUAUACAGCUACAAUGACCUUUAUUGUGAAGCCGAAUACAUGGAAGGAUCUAUGACACUACAUGUUCUUGUCUUAUGACAUGCCACUUUUUAUGUAUCUUUAGUUUUUUUAUUAUGUGCAUCAAACUUGCCAUUUUACAUACGAUUAAUCAUUUUUAC